GCCCCUGGGUAGCUUCCGGCGGAAGUUACCGCCCCUGUCGCGGUUCGGCGGUGGCAUCCGGCCUCGCACUUCCGGUGGGAAGAAUCCGGCCGGGAGCUCACCAGGCCGAGCAGACCUCGGGACCUGUGAGCGUUGCAUCCAGUUAACCAUGGGAAGGGUCAGCACCAGCCACCAGCCCCUUAGGUGAGGACUCUGCCUGGGGCUCCGCUGAUGGUUCCAAAUCAUGGAGCUGCAGAGAGCUCCUCCAGCCAGGAGACGUUCUUGGUGAAAGCUGUGGUCCAGCUGCACCGGCUCUUCCCACACAUUGUCUUCAAGAGAGGUGCCUGCCCCCACUGACUCAGGAGCUCGGGUGCUGCAGCCUCCACGAAUGGGGAGGUGGGCCCUCGAUGUGGCCUUUGUGUGGAAGGCGGUAUUGACGCUGGGGCUGGUGCUUCUCUACUACUGCUUCUCCAUCGGCAUCACCUUCUACAACAAAUGGCUGACAAAGAGCUUCCAUUUCCCCCUCUUCAUGACGAUGCUGCACCUGGCCGUGAUCUUCCUCUUCUCCGCCCUGUCCAGGGCGCUGGUUCAGUGCUCCAGCCACAGGGCCCGUGUGGUGCUGAGCUGGGCCGACUACCUCAGAAGAGUGGCUCCCACAGCUCUGGCCACGGCGCUUGACGUGGGCUUGUCCAACUGGAGCUUCCUCUAUGUCACCGUCUCUCUGUACACAAUGACCAAAUCCUCAGCUGUCCUCUUCAUCUUGAUCUUCUCUCUGAUCUUCAAGCUGGAGGAGCUGACCCCCGAGUUAGCUGCCACUGCUCCCCAUCCUACCAGCGCGCGGCACUGGUCCUGGUGGUCCUCCUCAUCGCCGGGGGUCUCUUCAUGUUCACCUACAAGUCCACACAGUUCAACGUGGAGGGCUUUGCCUUGGUGCUGGGGGCCUCAUUCAUCGGUGGCAUUCGCUGGACCCUCACCCAGAUGCUCCUGCAGAAGGCUGAACUUGGCCUCCAGAAUCCCAUCGACACCAUGUUCCACCUGCAGCCACUCAUGUUCCUGGGGCUCUUCCCUCUCUUUGCUGUAUUUGAAGGUCUCCAUUUGUCCACAUCUGAGAAAAUCUUCCGUUUCCAGGACACAGGGCUGCUCCUGCGGGUACUUGGGAGCCUCUUCCUUGGCGGGAUUCUCGCCUUUGGUUUGGGCUUCUCUGAGUUCCUCCUGGUCUCCAGAACCUCCAGCCUCACUCUCUCCAUUGCUGGCAUUUUUAAGGAAGUCUGCACUUUGCUGUUGGCAGCUCAUCUGCUGGGCGAUCAGAUCAGCCUCCUGAACUGGCUAGGCUUUGCCCUCUGCCUCUCGGGAAUAUCCCUCCAUGUUGCCCUCAAAGCCUUGCAUUCCAGAGGUGAUGGUGGCCCCAAGGCCUUGAAGGGGCUGGGCUCCAGCCCCGACCUGGAGCUGCUGCUCCGGAGCAGCCAGCGGGAGGAAGGUGACAAUGAGGAGGAGGAGUACUUUGUGGCCCAGGGGCAGCAGUGACCGGCCAGGGCAGAUGGCUUAGAAGCAGGCCGCUCUCCAGCCUGCUGCCAGCACUCACUGUGCUCAAGCCCCCGGGGCUCUUCAUGGUAGCUGGGAGCUGUGGAUGAGAGUCAAAGGUGGUGGGGCCAAGCCAGGGACUCCUGACUCUUGUCCCUCCCUUCAGAGCUUGGUCACACAAGGGGCGAGCACCAGGCCAGCCUGGGACCUGGCCAGAGCUGGGCCCAAGCUGCACUGGAGUUGGAGUCACUGCAGGAGAGGGGAGUGGGCUGGUUCUUCCCAACCACUUCCCAGGCUCUGACAGCCAAGACUCAUCUCCAAGGCACCUCAGCUUUCUAAGGGGACUGGGUUUGGACUGGGUUUUGGAUCUUGAGGGGCUGGAGCCUCAUCACCUGGGUGGCAUCUUUUCUCAGAGAGCAGGUUUCUUUAUAGUUUGGAAAUAAAUGGUUCACGGUCCACUGGCCACCUCGUGUUGCUGGAGAUGGGGCAGGGAGGGGACAGUGUGGGCCUGGCCUCUCCUUUCCUUUCCCUGCCUGGGGCCUUCUUCAAAUGACUGGUCUUAGGCCAGGCCUCCUUCGUUUCUUGCUUGUGUUGGAACACCAGUGCCCUCCGCAUGGGCCCCCACUGCACCUGCUGGCGGGAAAUAAAUGAAUAUUUACUGAGCA